GAUUUGCAGAGGGCAGGAUUUUGGCGGGCUCCGGGGGAGGAUUAAGGGCCUGCAGGAAAGCCCACCUUUCAUGACUACACGCCGUUCAGAUUCUGAACGGUGAAUACGAUCACCUGAUUGGUCAAUACCAAGUCAGUGGAAAACCGUAGUAUUUGUUGAUUUCAAUAUUGUUGCUAUCUAAUCCUCGAUCUAAUCUUGAACAUCGAUCGUGGCUAUUUUUUCUUAUUCAGCAGCGAUACAAAAGGUGAUCUCACUGGCCAGUCGUCAGGAAAUAGCACAGGAUAAUUGCAAACAAUUAACGUGCAUGGAUGUAAAAUUGUAAAUACUGAUUCUGAUGAUGUACUAUAUAAAAGUAUUAAGCUCAACAUCGACGGUUUGAAAACGUGUGAAGGGCGUUCGUCACUGUGGUCCAGCCACUUUUCGUUUGUAGGGUUUCGCGUCACAAUAUUCCCAUUCGGAU